UUAUUUUGGCAGAUUAGUGCAAUGAAUUUAGAAUUCAUAUAUAUAAUUUUAUUAUAAAUAAUA
rnacentral:tRNA from 2 species